rnacentral:tRNA from 1 species
GCGCGAGUGGUGAAAUUGGUAUACACGUAUGCCUUAGGAGCAUAUAUCGCAAGAUGUGCUGGUUCAAGUCCAGUCUCGCGCACCA